GAUGAACGCUGGCGGCGUGCCUAAUACAUGCAAGUCGAGCGAACAGACGAGGAUCUUGCUCCUCUGACGGUAUCGGCGGACGGGUGAUUAACACGUGGAUAACCUACCUAUAAGACUGGGGUAACUUCGGGAAACCGGAGCUAAUACCGGAUAAUAUAUUGAACCGCAUGGUUCAAUAGUGAAAUACGGUUUUGCUGUCACUUAUAGAUGGAUCCGCGCCGCAUUAGCUAGUUGGUAAGGUCACGGCUUAACCAGGCAACGAUGCGUAGCCGACCUGAGAGGGUGAACCGCCACACGGGCAGUGAGAAACGGUCCAGACUCCUACGGGAGGCAGCAGUAGGGAAUCCUACGCAAUGGGCGAAAGCUUGACGGAGCAACGCCGCGUGAGUGAUGAAGGUCUUAGGAUCGUAAAACUAUGUUAUUAGGGAAGAACAAAUGUGUAAGUAACUAUGAACGUCUUGACGGUACCUAAUCAGAAAGCCACGGCUAACUACGUG
rnacentral:rRNA from 1 species